rnacentral:rRNA from 1 species
UGAGCUUGAUCCUGGCUCAGGAUGAACGCUAGCGGCAGGCUUAACACCAUGCAAGUCGAGGGGUAUUAGUUUUCGGACUAAGAGACCGGCGCACGGGUGCGUAACGCGUAUGCAAUCUACCUUUUACAGAGGGAUAGCCCAGAGAAAUUUGGAUUAAUACCUCAUAGUAUAAUGACUCGGCAUCGAGAUAUUAUUAAAGUCACAACGGUAAAAGAUGAGCAUGCGUCCCAUUAGCUAGUUGGUAAGGUAACGGCUUACCAAGGCUACGAUGGGUAGGGGUCCUGAGAGGGAGAUCCCCCACACUGGUACUGAGACACGGACCAGACUCCUACGGGAGGCAGCAGUGAGGAAUAUUGGACAAUGGGCGCAAGCCUGAUCCAGCCAUGCCGCGUGCAGGAUGACGGUCCUAUGGAUUGUAAACUGCUUUUAUACGAGAAGAAACACUGCUUCGUGAAGCAGCUGACGGUAUCGUAG